rnacentral:rRNA from 1 species
UGCGCAGGCGGUUUGUUAAGAUAGGCGUGAAAUCCCCGGGCUCAACCUGGGAACUGCGCUUAUGACUGGCAAGCUAGAGUACGGCAGAGGGGGGUGGAAUUCCACGUGUAGCAGUGAAAUGCGUAGAGAUGUGGAGGAACACCAAUGGCGAAGGCAGCCCCCUGGGUCGAUACUGACGCUCAUGCACGAAAGCGUGGGUAGCAAACAGGAUUAGAUACCCUGGUAGUCCACGCCCUAAACGAUGUCAACUAGGUGUUGGGAGGGUAAAACCUUUUAGUACCGGAGCUAACGCGUGAAGUUGACCGCCUGGGGAGUACGGCCGCAAGGUUAAA